rnacentral:rRNA from 1 species
UACGUAGGGUGCGAGCGUUGUCCGGAAUUAUUGGGCGUAAAGAGCUCGUAGGCGGUGUGUCGCGUCGGCCGUGAAAACCUGAGGCUCAACUCUGGGCGUGCGGUCGAUACGGGCAUCACUAGAGUUCGGCAGGGGAGACUGGAAUUCCUGGUGUAGCGGUGAAAUGCGCAGAUAUCAGGAGGAACACCGGUGGCGAAGGCGGGUCUCUGGGCAGUAACUGACGCUGAGGAGCGAAAGCGUGGGGAGCGAACAGG